GCUGGGUUGGCUGAGCGGUUAAAGCGCCGGUCUCGAGAACCGGUUUCCGAAAGGAUGCGUAGGUUCGAAUCCUGCACCCAGCG
rnacentral:tRNA from 2 species